UGGUUCUGGCAUCGAUGAAGAACGCAGCGAAAUGCGAUAAGUAAUGUGAAUUGCAGAAUUCAGUGAAUCAUCGAAUCUUUGAACGCACAUUGCGCCCGGCAGUAAUCUGCCGGGCAUGCCUGUCCGAGCGUCAUUUCAACCCUCGAGCCUGAGUUUUCUAAACUCAAGGAUCGGUGUUGGGGCGCUACGGCUGUCUUCGGAUAGCUGUAGGCUCUGAAAUACAGUGGCGGUCCCGUCGCGGCGUCUUCUGCGUAGUAAACUUUAUAAAACUCGCAUUAGGUCCCGGCGAAGGCCAGCCGUCAAACCCUCUAAUUCUUUAUGGUUUGACCUCGGAUCAGGUAGGGUUACCCGCUGA
rnacentral:misc_RNA from 1 species